GAUGAAGAACGCAGCGAAAUGCGAUAAGUAAUGUGAAUUGCAGAAUUCAGUGAAUCAUCGAAUCUUUGAACGCACAUUGCGCCCGCCAGUAUUCUGGCGGGCAUGCCUGUUCGAGCGUCAUUACAACCCUCAGGCCCCCGGGCCUGGCGUUGGGGAUCGGCGGAGCCCCCCGUGGGCACACGCCGUCCCCCAAAUGCAGUGGCGGUCCCGCCGCAGCUUCCAUCGCGUAGUAGCUAACACCUCGCGACUGGAGAGCGGCGCGGCCUCGCCGUAAAACACCCAACUCUUCUGAAGUUGACCUCGAAUCAGGUAGGAAUACCCGCUGAACUUAAGCAUAUCAAUAAGCGGAGGA
rnacentral:misc_RNA from 1 species